rnacentral:antisense_RNA from 1 species
ACUCAAACGACAUUGCUCACAUUGCUUCCAGUGUAAUUUCAAGCUUAAUCUUGAAAAGCUCCCAUUUU